CGUUUAUCGCGAGUAGCCAAAGUCAAAGAUUGUCGAGAGGAUUUUUUGUACUUACGGAUCACGAAUCGCUGGCGGCGCCGGCAUGGCUGGGAGUGGGGUGCUGAGAAUCACGAAAAUUAGUCAAAGAGAUUCAGAGAUUCAACUGCUACCACGCACCGAAAGACACUUAUACGGUCAUAAAUAUGCAGUUUGUGCGGCAACGCAAGAGUCGAGAGAAAAAGUGGCGUCAGUCGGAAGCAAGCGUCUUUCUCCUAGCAACAGCGUGACCGUUUCUCCUCUUUGCCCAACGUUAGAAUUCUGCCAACUGCUGUGGUGAGCAGAUGGAAAUCGGCCUUCAAAAAAGCAACGUCGCCAGACUUUAGGGCUUACCUGACAGGUUGCACACCUUAUGAUGUCCUACUUGCGAAAACUAUAAAAGCAAUUUCCUGAUA